rnacentral:lncRNA from 1 species
CGCGUUCCAGCAGCUCUCUUCACGUGGCCCAUUGCCGCCACUCACGCACCGUCCACCACGCACAUGGGAUCCGCACGAAGCCACUGCACCACAAUCAAUUCACGCGGGCCAAAGCUCUCUACGCGUGGACCAUUCCUUCACGUGGACCACUAGCGCCACCUCGCCAUUCCUUCACGUGGAAACUCGCGCACUCGAUCCACUCCCAGGCCAGCAAUCUUCCAAAAUAGUGCGCCCCUCUGCACUUAUAAAUAGAGCCUUUAGUGGCCGAAUUAAAGAGAAUUCCUCCUCUCGGCAAUUUUCGCAAGCCAGCUCCUUCGGUUCUUUCUUUUUCCUUUUUUUUUAUUUUAUUUUUUUAUUUUAUUUUUCUAUUUUUAAUUCAGCCAAUGAGUGGCUGAUUUCUUUCAUCUAGUUGAAUAUUGGUUGAAGCUUUAGUUGUUUAAUGGGUUGCGAGACUUGAUCAAAUAUUGUUUAAUUUUGGGAAUUCAAUAUUCAUGCAAUUUCAUAUUUAAUUCUCAUAUUAUUUUGUUAUUGAAAUCUACGUUGAUUUUUUUAUUGCAAAAUAAUUAUUUGUUAGUUUGAAUAAUUUAAGUCCGUAAUUGCUUGGGUUAUUCUUACAUGAGAACACUUGGGAUAAAACCCAAGGAAAUUGUUUGAUCUAGCGUUAUCUCCAUACGUUUGGAUAGCUAGGAUUGGAUCUCUCUAUUUCUUAAUGCAAUCAACAAUUGUUUUGAUGCCUAAGGCCCAAGGACGUUCCUUGGCAAUUUGUUGAUUAGUAAUUAAUUAGAGGACGUUCCCUAAUUGGUUUAAUCAUAAGGAGAGAUAAUGGUGGUGAGAAGCGUCUUCCAUCUCCAUAAACUAAUCUAUUGAAUCAACCCAAAAGAACAAAGUGUCUGUGAUCAAUCCCAACGACUAAAGUGGAUCCAAUACUUCAACUAGAGUUUUCUUAUUAUUUAUUUCUCUUUUAUUUUAUUAUUCGCUUAUUUUAAUUGCUUUUAGUAGUUUGUUAAUCAAAUCAAUCUCAAACUCCCCAUUUUACUUUUACUGCAAUUUAUUUUUAUUCCGCUUUCAGUUUCUUUCAUUUUUUAUUUAUCUCAUUGUUUCAGUUUAUUUUAUUGGUCUUGU